UACGAAGGGGCUAGCGUUGUUCGGAAUUACUGGGCGUAAAGCGUGCGCAGGCGGCCAUCCAAGUCAGUGGUGAAAGCCCGGAGCUCAACUCCGGAAUUGCCAUUGAAACCGUUUGGCUAGAGUCCGGAAGAGGAGAGUGGAAUUCCCGGUGUAGCGGUGAAAUGCGCAGAUAUCGGGAAGAACACCCGUGGCGAAGGCGGCUCUCUGGGACGGUACUGACGCUGAGACGCG
rnacentral:rRNA from 1 species